rnacentral:rRNA from 1 species
GAUGAACGCUGGCUGCGUGCCUAAUACAUGCAAGUCGAGCGAACAGACGAGGAGCUUGCUCCUCUGACGUUAGCGGCGGACGGGUGAGUAACACGUGGAUAACCUACCUAUAAGACUGGGAUAAUUUCGGGAAACCGGAGCUAAUACCGGAUAAUAUAUUGAACCGCAUGGUUCAAUAGUGAAAGACGGUUUUGCUGUCACUUAUAGAUGGAUCCCCGCCGCAUUAGCUAGUUGGUAAGGUAACGGCUUACCACGGGAACCAUGCGUAGCCGACCUGAGAGGGUGAUCGGCCACACUGGAACUGAGGCGGGGUCAAGACGCCUACGGGAGGCAGCAGUAGGGAAUCUUCCGCAAUGGGCGAAAGCCUGACGGAGCAACGCCGCGUGAGAGAUGAAGACCGUGGGAGCGUAAAACUCUGUUAUUAGGGAAGAACAGAUGUGUAAGUAACUAAGCACGUCUUGACGGUACCGAAUCAGAAAGCAACGGCUAACUACGUG